AACGAACGCUGGCGGCAUGCCUAACACAUGCAAGUCGAACGAGACCUUCGGGUCUAGUGGCGCACGGGUGCGUAACGCGUGGGAACCUGCCCUUAGGUUCGGAAUAACUCCCCGAAAGGGGUGCUAAUACCGGAUAAUGUCUUCGGACCAAAGAUUUAUCGCCUUUGGAUGGGCCCGCGUUGGAUUAGCUAGUUGGUAGGGUAAAAGCCUACCAAGGCGACGAUCCAUAGCUGGUCUGAGAGGAUGAUCAGCCACACUGGGACUGAGACACGGCCCAGACUCCUACGGGAGGCAGCAGUGGGGAAUAUUGGACAAUGGGCGAAAGCCUGAUCCAGAAAGGCCGCGGGGGUGAUGAAGGCCUUGGGGUUGUAAAGCUCUUUUCCCCGGGAUGAUAAUGACAGUACCGGGAGAAUAAGCCCCGGCUAACUCCGU
rnacentral:rRNA from 1 species